UAGGGAAUCUUCGGCAAUGGGGGGAACCCUGACCGAGCAACGCCGCGUGAGUGAAGAAGGUUUUCGGAUCGUAAAGCUCUGUUGUUAAGGAAGAACGAGUGGGAGAAUUGAAAGUUCAUGCUGUGACGGUACUUAACCAGAAAGGGACGGCUAACUACGUGCCAGCAGCCGCGGUAAUACGUAGGUCCCGAGCGUUGUCCGGAUUUAUUGGGCGUAAAGCGAGCGCAGGCGGUUAGAAAAGUCUGAAGUGAAAGGCAGUGGCUCAACCAUUGUAGGCUUUGGAAACUGUUUAACUUGAGUGCAGAAGGGGAGAGUGGAAUUCCAUGUGUAGCGGUGAAAUGCGUAGAUAUAUGGAGGAACACCGGUGGCGAAAGCGGCUUUCUGGUCUGUUACUGACGCUGAGGCUCGAAAGCGUGGGGAGCGAACAGG
rnacentral:rRNA from 1 species